UACCAUCAGUCUCAUCUAUCUUCCUGUACCCAUAUGUGGGAUGUUUUAGGAUUCAGUGGCCUUUGAGGAUGUGGCUGUAAACUUCACCCUGGAGGAAUGGGCUUUAUUGGAUCCUUCACAGAAGAAACUCUACAGAGAUGUGAUGCGCGAAACCUUGAGGAACCUGGCUUCAAUAGGGAAAAAAUGGGAAGACUGUAACAUUGAAGAUCAGUA